UAACACAUGCAAGUCGAGCGGAAACGACACUAACAAUCCUCCGGGUGCGUUAAUGGGCGUCGAGCGGCGGACGGGUGAGUAAUGCCUAGGAAAUUGCCUUGAUGUGGGGGAUAACCAUUGGAAACGAUGGCUAAUACCGCAUAAUGCCUACGGGCCAAAGAGGGGGACCUUCGGGCCUCUCGCGUCAAGAUAUGCCUAGGUGGGAUUAGCUAGUUGGUGAGGUAAUGGCUCACCAAGGCGACGAUCCCUAGCUGGUCUGAGAGGAUGAUCAGCCACACUGGAACUGAGACACGGUCCAGACUCCUACGGGAGGCAGCAGUGGGGAAUAUUGCACAAUGGGCGAAAGCCUGAUGCAGCCAUGCCGCGUGUAUGAAGAAGGCCUUCGGGUUGUAAAGUACUUUCAGUUGUGAGGAAGGGGGUAACGUUAAUAGCGUUAUCUCUUGACGUUAGCAACAGAAGAAGCACCGGCUAACUCCGUGCCAGCAGCCGCGGUAAUACGGAGGGUGCGAGCGUUAAUCGGAAUUACUGGGCGUAAAGCGCAUGCAGGUGGUUCAUUAAGUCAGAUGUGAAAGCCCGGGGCUCAACCUCGGAACUGCAUUUGAAACUGGUGAACUAGAGUACUGUAGAGGGGGGUAGAAUUUCAGGUGUAGCGGUGAAAUGCGUAGAGAUCUGAAGGAAUACCAGUGGCGAAGGCGGCCCCCUGGACAGAUACUGACACUCAGAUGCGAAAGCGUGGGGAGCAAACAGGUUUAGAUGCCCUGGUAGUCCACGCCGUANACGAUGUCUACUUGGAGGUUGUGGCCUUGAGCCGUGGCUUUCGGAGCUAACGCGUUAAGUAGACCGCCUGGGGAGUACGGUCGCAAGAUUAAAACUCAAAUGAAUUGACGGGGGCCCGCACAAGCGGUGGAGCAUGUGGUUUAAUUCGAUGCAACGCGA
rnacentral:rRNA from 1 species